rnacentral:rRNA from 1 species
CACGUAAGUUGCGAGCGUUGUUCGGAAUUAUUGGGCGUAAAGGGCAUGUAGGCGGUCAUGCAAGCUUGGUGUGAAAGGCGGGAGCUCAACUCCCGGACUGCGUUGAGAACUGCAAGACUGGAGUCACUGAGGGGCAAUCAGAAUUCCUGGUGUAGGGGUGAAAUCUGUAGAUAUCAGGAAGAAUACCAAUGGCGAAGGCAGGUUGCCAGCAGAUGACUGACGCUGAGGUGCGAAGGUGCGGGGAGCAAAC